GGAGAGUUGUCCGAGUGGUCGAAGGUGCAGCACUCGAAAUGCUGUGAGGAAUUUCCUCCUAGGGUUCGAAUCCCUAACUCUCCG
rnacentral:tRNA from 1 species